rnacentral:lncRNA from 1 species
AUGUACGGAUGUGUGUUUCUAUUUAUCAGAGAAAGUAAUGUUGAUGACAUAGUAAAUGAAGAGCAAAAGUUAAUAAGUACUUACGAAUUAGUGAAGCAAGAAGAAUAUUAUAAUGCAAUGAUAAGAGAAAAAGAAAAGUGGCAAAAUGAAAAUAAAAAUAAACAAAAAAAUAUAAACAAAGAAACAGCUGUUUCUGAUGCUUCAUUUUUCAACGAAUUAGAAAAAACUAGUAGCAUUAUAACUAUUAAAGAUAUUAAUGAAUGUGAGGAUUAUACAGACAUUCAAACGCUUGAUUCAUUCAUUAAUGAAAAAAAUAAAAUUGACGGAACACAUGUCGGAAGAGGCUUAAAUUUUUUAAAUGGAAACGAAAAAAAAAAAUUCAUUAAAACAGUAUGA